GCUGCUGCUGGUGGGCCUCCAAAGAAUACUCCUCACUCAACUUUGGGACAGGAUCAGGACAUAGGACCAACCUAGGAUCUGGAAACUAACAAGAACCAGCUAUCUAUAGAAGUUGCUGCCCUAAGAGAUCCUCGAGAUUCCAUAGCAUGAAAGCUCCCAGGUGAUGAGAUGCUGCUACACACUGGACUACACUUUGAGUAGCGCUUGUCAAGGAGGAAUGAUGGGAUAAAAAAGAGGAAUCCAGAGCGGAAACAGGAAGAUGCGGCAGGAUAUGAGCCUCAGCUCCUGGAAGGCGCUAUUGGAAAAGGGAGCAGACCCUCUCAGGUGGCUGGCCGUCCAGCUUCUGCUACGUCUGUGAGGUGGCUCAGUUUCGUCUGUCUGCAAAGUCCUGCCUUCCUUCAAGCUGAUGCCUCCCUCCUGUUGGUCCAGAGGAAAGACAGGACCAGUGGCUGGAGCAGGGACUGCAUGCCCCUGCUGCCCAGGACCCUCGGGGGAGCCCGGGAGAGAGGACCUGGAGCCUGACAGCUCUCCCCACUGAGCCUCAGGCCUGCGCUUGGGAGCACGGCUGAAAGUCAUCGUGCUGCUCUUCUGUCGUACAGGACUGGGAGACUCAAAAGAGGAAGCAAAGGGACCAUGACGCUCUCACAAGUGAAAUGAGGAAAAAUAAUGAAUUUUUAACAAAGCUAAAUUUAUUCAGUUUAAAGGACUCUCCUUUAUGCUUAGAUUAAAACUUCCUGUUUUUUUAACUAUCAUUUAUUAAAUUAAAGUAAUUGAUAGUCGUAUGUGUGUAUAUGAGUAUGUACGUAGUUUUAUUGUAGCUUAUUUGUUUUUUAUAAGUCUCUUGAUAUGUAAAAAAAUUAAAAUUUG
rnacentral:lncRNA from 1 species